rnacentral:rRNA from 2 species
AGCCAAACUCUAGCCCAACCACAUUUAACCAAUAACCAAAACCCACUCUUAUCCAUAGACUAAAACAUUCUCUCAACCUAGUAUAGGCGAUAGAAAAGUUUUCCCUGGCGCAAUAGAGGCCUUGUACCGUAAGGGAAAGAUGAAAUAUCAAUGAAAACCCAAGCAUCCCACAGCAAAGAUUAACCCUUGUACCUCUUGCAUCAUGAUUUAGCAAGAACAACCAAGCAAAAUGAACUUAAGCUUGCCACCCCGAAACCCAAGCGAGCUACUUGUAGGCAGCUACCCCCUGAGCGAACCCGUCUCUGUUGCAAAAGAGUGGGAUGACCUACUAGUAGAGGUGAAAAGCCAACCGAGCUGGGUGAUAGCUGGUUGCCUGUGAAAUGAAUCUAAGUUCUACCUUAAUUCCUCUCCACGGACCUACACCAUAACCCUCACGUAGUGAAUCAAGAGUAAGUUAAAGGAGGUACAGCUCCUUUAAAAAAGAACACAACCUCACACAGCGGAUAACCCACAACUUUCCCCAACCUGUAGGCCUUCAAGCAGCCAUCAUCAAAGAAUGCGUCAAAGCUCCUUACCCUAAAAAAUCCAACAACAACCCGACUCCCUUCCCACCAACAGGCUAGCCUAUCAUAAUAGGAGAAUUAAUGCUAGAAUGAGUAACUAGGGACUACCCCCUCUUUCAAGCGCAAACUUACAUCCUUACAUUAUUAACAGCCCAAUUAAUGCUACAACCACAACAAGUUAACACAUUACAAACACCCUGUUACCCCAACCCAGGAGCGCCCACCAGAAAGACUAAAAUCUGCAAAAGGAACUAGGCAAACCUAAGAUCCGACUGUUUACCAAAAACAUAGCCUUCAGCAAACCAAGUAUUGAAGGUGAUGCCUGCCCGGUGACCCCAGUUUAACGGCCGCGGUAUCCUAACCGUGCGAAGGUAGCGCAAUCAAUUGUCCCAUAAAUCGAGACUUGUAUGAAUGGCUAAACGAGAUCUUAACUGUCUCUUGCAGAUGGUCAGUGAAAUUGAUCUUCCUGUGCAAAAGCAGGAAUAAAUGCACAAGACGAGAAGACCCUGUGGAACUUAAAAAUCAGCGGCCACCCUAUACAAGCACAUCAACCCCUACCAGGCACACAACCAAACAGCUGCUGGCCCACAUUUUUCGGUUGGGGCGACCUUGGAGAAAAACAGACCCUCCAAAAAUAAGACCACACCUCUUAACCAAGAAUAACAUCUCAAUGUACUAAUAGUAACCAGACCCAAUAACAUUGAUCAAUGGACCAAGCUACCCCAGGGAUAACAGCGCAAUCUCCCCUAAGAGCCCCUAUCGACGGGGAGGUUUACGACCUCGAUGUUGGAUCAGGACAUCCUAAUGGUGCAGCCGCUAUUAAGGGUUCGUUUGUUCAACGAUUAACAGUCCUACGUGAUCUGAGUUCAGACCGGAGCAAUCCAGGUCGGUUUCUAUCUAUGCUAUGCUCUUCCCAGUACGAAAGGACCGGAAAAGUGAGGCCAAUACUACAAGCACGCCUUCUCCCUAAGUAAUGAACCCAUCUAAAUUACAAAGAGAACUUACACACCAAACCCAAGCCCUAGAAAAGGCC